CCUACGGGUGGCUGCAGUGAGGAAUAUUGGUCAAUGGCCGUAAGGCUGAACCAGCCAAGUAGCGUGAGGGAAGACUGUCCUAUGGGUUGUAAACCUCUUUUAUGAGGGGAUAAAGGUGUCCACGUGUGGAUGUUUGCAGGUACCGCAUGAAUAAGGACCGGCUAAUUCCGUGCCAGCAGCCGCGGUAAUACGGAAGGUCCGGGCGUUAUCCGGAUUUAUUGGGUUUAAAGGGUGCGUAGGCAGGGUUUUAAGCCUGCCGUGAAAUUUUGUGGCUCAACCCUGAGGGUGCGGCGAGAACUGGGGACCUUGAGGGCGCUGAAGGCAGGCGGAAUGCGGGGUGUAGCGGUGAAAUGCUUAGAUAUCACGAAGAACCCCGAUUGCGAAGGCAGCCUGCCGCAGCCUGACUGACGCUGAAGCACGAAAGCGCGGGUAUCGAACAGGAUUAGAUACCCGAGUAGUC
rnacentral:rRNA from 1 species